rnacentral:rRNA from 1 species
UAUGACUGUCCACCGCAUGGUGGAUGGUGUAAAGCUCCGGGGGUGCAGGAUGAGCCCGCGGCCUAUCAGCUUGUUGGAGAGGCAGUGGCUCACCAAGGCGACGACGGGUAGCCGGCCUGAGAGGGCGACCGGCCACCCUGGGACUGAGACACGGCCCAUACUCCUACGGGAGGCAGCAGUGGGGAAUAUUGCACAAUGGGCGAAAGCCUGACACAGCGACGCCGCGUGAGGGAUGACGGCCUUCGGGUUGUAAACCUCUUUCAGCAGGGAAGAAGCGAAAGUGACGGUACCUGCAGAAGAAGCGCCGGCUAACUACGUGCCAGCAGCCGCGGUAAUACGUAGGGCGCAAGCGUUGUCCGGAAUUAUUGGGCGUAAAGAGCUCGUAGGCGGCUUGUCACGUCGGUUGUGAAAGCCCGGGGCUUAACCCCGGGUCUGCAGUCGAUACGGGCAGGCUAGAGUUCGGUAGGGGAGAUCGGAAUUCCUGGUGUAGCGGUGAAAUGCGCAGAUAUCAGGAGGAACACCGGUGGCGAAGGCGGAUCUCUGGGCCGAUACUGACGCUGAGGAGCGAAAGCGUGGGGAGCGAACAGGAUUAGAUACCCUGGUAGUCCACGCCGUAAACGGUGGGCACUAGGUGUGGGCAACAUUCCACGUUGUCCGUGCCGCAGCUAACGCAUUAAGUGCCCCGCCUGGGGAGUACGGCCGCAAGGCUAAAACUCAAAGGAAUUGACGGGGGCCCGCACAAGCGGCGGAGCAUGUGGCUUAAUUCGACGCAACGCGAAGAACCUUACCAAGGCUUGACAUACACCGGAAAGCUUCGGAGAUGGUG